CUCUGGAAAAGCUAAAAUUCUAAUGGUGAUCCUUGAAUCAGGACACUUGACAGUGUCAGGCGGGCAGUUUUUCUGGGGCGGAAACCUCCUAAAAAGUAACGGAGGUGCGCAAAGGUUCCCUCAGGCUGGACGGAAAUCAGCUGUAGAUUGUAAAGGCAUAAGGGAGCUUGACUGCAAGACCUACAAGUCGAGCAGGGGCAAAAGCCGGCCUUAUUGAUCCGACGGUGCCGGGUGGAAGGGCCGUCGCUCAACGGAUAAAAGUUACUCUAGGGAGAACGGGCCUGACGCGGAGUGCCACGUGGCUGGGGUGGAGGGAGGAAACCAGUGGUCGAGAUGAGGCCGGGGCCGCGGCGAUGGACGGGCGGGAUUGGCGGAGCACGUGGCGGGUGGGGAUUGGGCU
rnacentral:rRNA from 1 species